UGGUCCAUCGGGGCCGCGGAUACCUGCUUGCUU
rnacentral:ncRNA from 1 species